GAUGAAGAACGUAGUGAAAUGCGAUAAGUAGUGUGAAUUGCAGAAUUCAGUGAAUCAUCGAAUCUUUGAACGCACAUUGCGCCCGCCAGUAUUCUGGCGGGCAUGCCUGUUCGAGCGUCAUUUCAACCAUCAAGCCCCCGGCUUGUGUUGGGGACCUGCGGCUGCCGCAGGCCCUGAAAACCAGUGGCGGGCUCGCUAGUCACUCCGAGCGUAGUAAUACAUCUCGCUCAGGGCGUGCUGCGGGUUCCGGCCGUUAAAAAGCCUUAUUUACCCAAGGUUGACCUCGGAUCAGGUAGGAAGACCCGCUGAACUUAAGCAUAUCAAUAAGCGGAGGA
rnacentral:misc_RNA from 1 species